CGCCUUGCCAGCCCGCUCAGAAACUUAAAGGAAGUUGACGGGGGCCCGGCACAAGCGGUGGAGUAUGUGGUUUAAUUCGAUGCAACGCGAGAACCUUACCUGGUCUUGACAUCCCGGAGACCCUUAGGAAACUAGGGGGUGCUUCCAUCUGGAAGAAUCUGGAGACAGGUGCUGCAUGGCUGUCGUCAGCUCGUGUCGUGAGAUGUUGGGUUAAGUCCCGCAACGAGCGCAACCCUUGCCUUUAGUUGCCAGCAGUUCGGCUGGGCACUCUAAAGGGACUGCCGGUGUUAAACCGGAGGAAGGUGGGGAUGACGUCAAGUCCUCAUGGCCUUUAUGACCAGGGCUACACACGUACUACAAUGGCCGAUACAAAGGGCAGCGACACUGCGAGGUGAAGCCAAUCCCGUAAAAUCGGUCUCAGUCCGGAUUGGAGUCUGCAACUCGACUCCAUGAAGUUGGAAUCGCUAGUAAUCGUGGAUCAGCAUGCCACGGUGAAUACGUUCCCGGGCCUU
rnacentral:rRNA from 1 species